AUUAAAAGUGGGGGAGAAAUUGACUGAUAAUCUCUGCGUCGGUGCGUUUUCUGUACUAGGUGUGUUAAUUAACGGACGGGUUAAAAACGACUGACACAGUGUGUAUUCUUUGUAUGGUGAGUUUUCUCGAAAGCGUACGUGUAUUUACAUAUUAUCGUGCGUACCACUGAACAAUAAAGAAAUGUAUCUUAAAAUUGAUCACAAGCAGUAUCGUUAUUUACCGAUAUCCGGACCAACCUCCAUUGAUAUCAAACUAACGAAUCUGUUUCGAAAGCAAGUUUAUGCGUGGUUUAAUGGUCGAGAGUGAGACAUUAAAGGACAAUAUUGGUGUCAGUGAAUAUUACAUAUGCGAUAGAAUAACUUAAAAGAUUCCAAAGAUAAUUUUUAAGUAAACCGCAAUAGCACCGUUUAGCAGUGACCUCCACCUAUUCAAAACGGAAUUGACGUACCUCAAAGGAAAACAAACAUUUUUUCAUUGGAAGCUCAAGCAAAUGUAGUUUGUUUUGGUCAGUAUAAGACUGUGAUUGUAGAUUUUCUCACUGAAAUGUAUUGUUGUUGUGUACCGGGAUGUUCACAUUCCACUUUAACUGUGAAACUUGGCAUUCCUUUUCACAAUUUCCCAAAAGAUCCAGAAAUAAGACGACGGUGACUUGUCAACAUGAGAGCACAGAACUAUCACGUAUGUGGCAAACACUUCAAACCAAGUGAUUACGAAUGUGAAACAAAGCAUUUGGUGGCACCUCAUCUAUUUAAGAAAAGAAAUAAUUUGAAAAAGACAGCAGUUCCCACUCAAUUUUCCUUCGAAGAAUGUCAAACAAGUAUGAUCUUUUAGAGGCAUUUAGUAACUGGAUAGAGCAAUAAACUAUAACACAUACGAUGUAAGAACAAUUACUGAUUUAUUUGGGCCACGUUUCGAAGAGUAUUCUCUCAACGUUUUCAAGCAAGUACAGUAACAAGUGUGUAGAGCAAUUAUAUAUAGACAAGCAAUAACAACAAUUCAGAAACCAUGCAUGACAACAACAAGAUCAAAGGAUUAAAAAACAACAUGAUCAAAGGCAAUAUACGUAUGACAAGUAAAGGUAAGCUAAAGUCUACUUUUGCAACAAGUAGGCCUACAUGUACUGUUACUAGUAAAUGUGCCGAUGAGACAACACCUCAAAUUCAGUAUGUGAGAAGUGCCUAUUAAAAGAGGGAAAACUUAAGAAAAUGUACAGAAGAAAAAACUGUUGUAGAUCUAGAACAGAGUAAGCCAUUACCGUUACCUCCAGUUUCAAAACUCCUUAAUGAUCCACCCACAAGCAGUCAUUCUCCAGCCCUGUAGCCAGUCAUUCAUCUCCUUUGUGGCAGCCCACUUUUGACACAUCUUUAGAUUCGGAGUUUGUUGAGUCAGAAAGAGAAAUAUUUUCUGACCCGACUGAGCAGAGUAAAGUUAGUAUUAAGAUUUUAUUACAAUUUUACACCCAUUUUAGGCAGCAUACACCAAAUGAAAAGCCGGGUCUUCAGAAGGGGGAUGCUGGAGCCCCCGUCCAUCUCUACCCCUUUAAAAACCAGCGGCAGUCAGUCAGGAUACGCCCGCAUUUUGCAAGAGAUGGAUAGAGAACAAGCUAAAAACAAACGCGAUUUUUUGUACAAUCAGGGGCAAUAAUCCAGAGAGUUAUUGCCUGAAAUGUGCAAAUAUCAAAAGGGACCGAGAUCUUUGAGAUAUAAAGAUAAGUUUUAAUCGGAUAAAAAUUGUGACCACUAGAGGGUCCACAACCUUUGUAUUACACACUUCUACACAAUUUGCGUACAAAGAGCGGCCAUUUUGUCGGGCAGAUUCAUUUUGAUUUUCCCGAAAUACGAAUUCAACCUUCAAUAUAGUGGAAUGGUGAUGUAUUUAAACGGUUUUUAAAAUCAGAAAAAAAUUGUGACCUCUAGAGAAUCUGCAAGCUAAAAAUGUGAUUUUUCGAACAAUCAGGGCCAUAAUCCAGGAAGUUAAGUUCGGAUAUCCGUGAUUAUGAAAAGGAACCAAGAUCGUUAGUGUGUAAUGGUGAUAUAUUCACACUUUUUUUUUAAAUUGGAUAAAAAUGUGAUUUUUUGUUCAAUCAAGGGCCAUAAUUCAACCUUCAAUAUAGUGGAAUGGUGAUGUAUUUAAACGGUUUUUAAAAUCAGAAAAAAAUUGUGACCUCUAGAGAAUCUGCAAGCUAAAAAUGUGAUUUUUCGAACAAUCAGGGCCAUAAUCCAGGAAGUUAAGUUCGGAUAUCCGUGAUUAUGAAAAGGAACCAAGAUGUUAGUGUGUAAUGGUGAUAUAUUCACACUUUUUUUUUAAAUUGGAUAAAAAUGUGAUUUUUUGUUCAAUCAAGGGCCAUAAUUCAACCUUCAAUAUAGUGGAAUGGUGAUGUAUUUAAACGGUUUUUAAAAUCAGAAAAAAAUUGUGAUCUCUAGAGAAUCUGCAAGCUAAAAAUGUGAUUUUUCGAACAAUCAGGGCCAUAAUCCAGGAAGUUAAGUUCGGAUAUCCGUGAUUAUGAAAAGGAACCAAGAUGUUAGUGUGUAAUGGUGAUAUAUUCACACUUUUUUUUUAAAUUGGAUAAAAAUGUGAUUUUUUGUUCAAUCAAGGGCCAUAAUUCAACCUUCAAUAUAGUGGAAUGGUGAUGUAUUUAAACGGUUUUUAAAAUCAGAAAAA